UCCCUGGAGAGCCAGUGGUUAGGCAACAGCGCUUUCACCACUGCAACCCAGGUUCGAUUCCUGGAAAGGGAA